UCUCUCUCUCUCUCUCUCUCUCUCUCUCUCUCUCUCUCUCUCUCUCUCUCUCUCUCUCUCUCUCUCUCUCUAAAUGGUUUGCUAUAUAAACAGUCAGCUUUAGACUCAGCAUAUUUGUCUUGGUAUAUAGCAGUGUUCCUAGGUUCACUCACUUCACCAGAAUGGAAAUUUUCAUCAUAGGUUAUUAUUCUUACCAAUGAAAAUGUUAUUUUAAGGAGAUACUAACAUUUUUUUUUUGUAAUCAACUUGACUGUGCAGAGGUGAAGGGCCUCACAGUUUGUUCUGCAAUUGCUGGCCAGGAUUUAGAAGAGACAGUUAUAAUAAGAAGUAAAUGACUGAAAACAGCACCUACAUGUCCUCUACCUUUGUUUAGUUCACUGAUGUCAGGAUUUCUGACAUCCACACAUAGAGGUGCCUGUCAGCAUCUCUCUCCUCUGUAUCCUUGUCUUUUUGGCCUCACAAGUCUUACACAUUAUCACAUCCAGAGUCCAAGCAAAGACAAUGAAUCAAGUUUUCUACCGCAGAGGAGCUAAGAUUGCAAUGCCAUUGAAUAACUUUCACUUAGUUCAAAAGUGAGGUCCCUUGCUAUUUGCUGUCAGGUUUGAGCUGUGGUUUGUUUCUUUGUGCCUCUCAGUUUCUUACCUAUGGAAAUUUCUUAUUUGCAUUCAGCUUGUGAUUAAAUGUGGUACUAUAUCGAGAAUGUGUAGACUAAACCCCAAGAGACAGUCAUUACUUUGCAAGAUACAGAUCACUCUAGAAUAGGGGAUUAAAAGAGAAAGGAAAAAUCCUUUAUUCAUUGUGAAUGUUUAGUAGAGGCAUACAUGACCUUUAACGGCCACUUCAGUGUUGGUGUCAGUGACAUAUUUAAUCUACCUACCAGUUUCUCAUCUAUAAACUAGAAAUAGUGAUCAACAAAGGCUCAUAAUGUCACCUGAUUAGGAAGUGAUGUGUCAACUACUGUUAUAAAGUCACAUGUCUAGAAUGAGAUAGACCACUCACUGUAAACCAGAAGCUGUGUCUAUUCCUCUACCCUGUCCAGGCCAGGCAACUAGUUUGCCUGAUUAUCGAACAAGUUCUGUGGUCUCAAAAAAAAUAUCCAUUUCUGUUUUUUAUUAUAUAAAGAUAAGCAGGUAGCCCCAAGGAAUCCCCUGUCUGCCCCACCUUUUGUGUCUUCUUAAGCAAUGGCUUCAUAUAUCUCAAGUUGUGAAUGCACAAGCUUAUUAGGUUAUAUUUAUAUGUUGUGUUUUAACUGUUUGGAACUAGAGAGCAAACUGCAAAUUAAAGUUGCUAAAUUAACCAGGACAUUGGUUAUAUUAUAUUACAGUGAAAAUAUGGGGUCAGUUUAUUCUACAAAAACAAGGCAGUUUUCUUAAGGGACAGAUUUCUUCUUUUUAUUUAGUUGAAGACAUUUCUUGCUGUGUUCAAAUGGAUGUGUGUUGAAAUCUCUGUCCAUGUGAGUUUCUUUACAGGAGCCAUUAAUCGCUCAUGGAGUAAUAUUCAAACACUGUUGUUCAUGACUAGCUGCUUAAUAUUUAAUAGGGCUGUUUACUUAAGAUGCUCACUUAAAAUAACAUAAGUGAGGUAUCUAUAUAAAAAUAUUUAGUAGGUCCAUCAAUAAGUAUCACAUAUACAUUUAAGCAAAGGAAUAACUUUCAUAUUAUUACCUUAUUCCUUGAUGUCAUAAAAAUAAGGUGUUUAUAAAUAUAAUCUUCUCCCUACUAGCCACAGACACAGACCUGAGUAAUCUGUUCUCACAUAAUGUCUAUACCCAGUAUCACUGUGGGGAAUUUGAGUUCUUCCCACCUGAUUAUUCCGGAUGACCUGUGGGGAUCCUGAUGUUCUGUCUGAUCUAUACUCUGUGAGAUUUCCCAGUGUGCAUCAAGGAGAAUAAUUAGUCUUAAAAUUGCUGCAUGUGUUGAAAGUCCACAGAAAGGAAAUCACUUGCAUUAUUUACAAACUGAUCACUGCAGGAGCCCAUGUAGUUGUUUUCGAGCCAGGACUCCUGUGGUCUCAGAGUGGAUACAAAAUAAUUGUUACCUGCUAGGAAGUCAUCUCUUAGAUGAGGUGUUCCAUCUUUUCAUGGGAUGGCAUAGCAGUUGGGAAAUAGAGAUCCACUCCUUCACAUUUUUGCUUCCAUCCACAUCAAUAAUGCUUCGAUUAGAGGUUCCCACACAGGUGCUGUGACAUUCUGGCAUUGAUAGUUCUUCAUUGUGUGACCUUGGGCAACUCUGUCUCUCCUUUCCAUGUUAUCCAAAGCAAAGUUACUAUAGUAGCUGUUUAAGGAUGCUUUCACCACUUUCAUUAACGGGUUGAGAUAAUUCAGAAGUAAAGUUCCUUGAUCUGUUUAUGCUCAAGAAAAAGGAAAACAUUGAGAUUUAGUUGUACAAAUUGAUUCAGAUGGUGGAUUCACGAAGCCCCACUCAAGACUGUUUCCAGCAAGCCAUUUAGACAAGUGUGACCAUAUGUACUAUUUCAUCAAAUCUGUCUUCAAAAUGAAGCUAUAUGCAUUUCUUAUUCAAAUUGAGUUGUGCUUCUAUCCUGUUUAAUACAAGUAAAAUUAACUCAACCCACCUAGAUGCCUAUGGCGCACAUCAAGCCCUCAAUUCCUGCCUGAAUACUUGGUUUUAGUGAAAAGCCCUGGGAAUCAUUGAGUUG
rnacentral:lncRNA from 1 species